AUGAACGCUGGCGGCGUGCCUAACACAUGCAAGUCGAGCGAAGCGCUGUUUUCAGAAUCUUCGGAGGAAGAGGACAGCGACUGAGCGGCGGACGGGUGAGUAACGCGUGGGCAACCUGCCUCAUACAGGGGGAUAACAGUUAGAAAUGACUGCUAAUACCGCAUAAGCGCACAGGACCGCAUGGUGUAGUGUGAAAAACUCCGGUGGUAUGAGAUGGACCCGCGUCUGAUUAGGUAGUUGGUGGGGUAAAGGCCUACCAAGCCGACGAUCAGUAGCCGACCUGAGAGGGUGACCGGCCACAUUGGGACUGAGACACGGCCCAAACUCCUACGGGAGGCAGCAGUGGGGAAUAUUGCACAAUGGGGGAAACCCUGAUGCAGCGACGCCGCGUGAAGGAAGAAGUAUUUCGGUAUGUAAACUUCUAUCAGCAGGGAAGAAGAUGACGGUACCUGAGUAAGAAGCACCGGCUAAAUACGUGCCAGCAGCCGCGGUAAUACGUAUGGUGCAAGCGUUAUCCGGAUUUACUGGGUGUAAAGGGAGCGUAGACGGAUAGGCAAGUCUGGAGUGAAAACCCAGGGCUCAACCCUGGGACUGCUUUGGAAACUGCAGAUCUGGAGUGCCGGAGAGGUAAGCGGAAUUCCUAGUGUAGCGGUGAAAUGCGUAGAUAUUAGGAGGAACACCAGUGGCGAAGGCGGCUUACUGGACGGUGACUGACGUUGAGGCUCGAAAGCGUGGGGAGCAAACAGG
rnacentral:rRNA from 1 species